UUUCCGUAGGUGAACCUGCGGAAGGAUCAUUAACACUAAUCCAAAAAUCUUAACCGAUCCCUUAGUGCAUCAAUAGUGAGUGCUAGCGAAAGCAGGCUGCUUCUAUUGGCGCAUCGUAAAUCUCUAAACAAAGGAGACUAACUAAGCCCAAUACCAAAACCAAAUUCUCAACGAUGGAUAUCUUGGUUCCC
rnacentral:misc_RNA from 1 species